UGGGGAAUUUUGCGCAAUGGACGAAAGUCUGACGCAGCAACGCCGCGUGGAGGAAGAAGCUCCUUUGGAGUGUAAACUUCUGUUAAUUAGGAAGAAAAGAUAGUAGUUAAUACCUAUUAUUUAUGACGUUACUAGUAAAGAAAGCACCGGCUAAUCUCGUGCCAGCAGCCGCGGUAAUACGAGAGGUGCAAGCGUUAUUCGGAAUUAUUGGGCGUAAAGGGCGCGUAGGCGGCUUUAUAAGUUUCUUGUUUAAGACUUCGGCCUAACUGAAGAAAAGCAAGGAAUACUGUAUAGCUAGAGUAUAAUAGAGAGAAGUGGAAUUUUCGGAGUAGCGGUUAAAUGCGUAGAUCUCGAAAGGAACGCCAAUGGCGAAGGCAGCUUCUUGGGUUAUUACUGACGCUGAGGCGCGAAGGCAUGGGGAGCAAACA
rnacentral:rRNA from 1 species